rnacentral:lncRNA from 1 species
GCAACUGCCACACGAUAGAUUGCUGUCUGUUGGAACACGAUGGUUCGCAUGUGCUUUCGGCACCAUAGCGCCAGUUAACUUGGUUUUACAUGGCAAAAAAUCUGCUACUAGCGGGACCGGGUUAUGUCUGAUUUCACCACAUGCUCACUGCUUCAACGAGGCACGGCAGUCAUAUAUAGGAUCAUCGGUUGACUGUAAAACUCAAGUCUGGGUUUAUUUACCGUGCACAGGCCGAGCAAAAAGUGAGAAUCAACACUUCAUUCAUCAAAAAGAUUUGUUUCCAUCAAGGCAGGCGUUUGUUACAUACACGCCAAGAGAUAAGUUUAGCACCAUGCCUUGUUCAUCACGCAAUACAGGCUUGGCCUCAUCAGACUGGAAUGAAUUGCUACACAUCACCACGAGCUCAAAUCCAUAUACUUUUUUAAUUGUAGAUGUUCGUACCUUGCCAAGCACAGUCAAAUUUGCCAAUACACAUGAUAUCAGAUUUAAAGUCAGCGGCGAAAAUACACCAGUGAUAGUGAACGUCUCGCCUUCACAAAUAACAUUACAUGGGCAUGCUAUCCUGAGAUUAUUUGGCAGCAACUUUUGGUCCCCCGACGAACACGGAGGGUUGGCACUACUCUAUUG